rnacentral:rRNA from 1 species
UACGGAGGGGACUAGCGUUGUUCGGAAUUACUGGGCGUAAAGGGCUCGUAGGCGGCCAACUAAGUCAGACGUGAAAUCCCCAGGCUCAACCUGGGAACUGCGUCUGAUACUGGAUGGCUUGAAUUCGGGAGAGGGAUGCAGAAUUCCAGGUGUAGCGGUGAAAUGCGUAGAUAUCUGGAGGAAUACCGGUGGCGAAGGCGGCAUCCUGGACCAUUACUGACGCUGAGGCGCGAAAGCUAGGGGAGCAAACGGG